GGGUCGUUAGCUCAGUUGGUAGAGCAGCGGACUUUUAAUCCGUUGGUCACAGGUUCAAGUCCUGUACGGCCUACCA
rnacentral:tRNA from 9 species